rnacentral:tRNA from 2 species
GGGCGCGUAGCUCAGUCUGGGAGAGCGCUCGGUUUACACCCGAGAGGUCGGCGGUUCGAAACCGUCCGCGCCCA